rnacentral:lncRNA from 1 species
GUCUUGCUAAAAGUCUCACCUUGGAAGGGUGUUGCAAGGUUCGGUAAGCGUGGUAAGCUUAAUCCGAGGUAUAUUGGGCCGUUCGAGGUUUUAGACAAGGUUGGUACCGUCGCGUACAAACUAAAGUUGCCCGAUGAGCUAAGUGGCGUUCAUGACACAUUCCAUGUGUCAAACUUGAAGAAGUGUCUAGCCGACGAGACGCUUAUCAUUCCUCCAGAUGAAAUCUGUAUCGAUGACAAACUCCACUUUAUUGAAGAACCGGUCGAGCGCGGACCUGAGUUUACAUGGGAACGCGAGGAUCAAAUGAAGACGAAGUAUCCCCACCUGUUUGAGAAGACUCCUGUUCAGGAUGACUCGGGUUGAAUUUCGGGACGAAAUUCUUUUAACGGGGGGAGAAUGUGACAACCGGCAAAAUUUCAGGUUAAUCCGCACGAUCUAAUCACUAUUUAUUUACUAAAUUACGUGCCUUUAGACUUAAUUAUAUAAUUAAUUGAGUCCAUAAAGUCUAGCGAUAUCCGGGUAAAUGCAUGGGUUCACAUUUGAUGUCAUUUGGUAUCAUCUUAUCGUGUAGCGAUAAGAGUAU